rnacentral:rRNA from 1 species
UGGGGAAUCUUCCGCAAUGGACGAAAGUCUGACGGAGCAACGCCGCGUGAGUGAUGACGGUCUUCGGAUUGUAAAGCUCUGUUAAUCGGGACGAAUGGUUUGUGUGCAAAUAGUGCAUAGACAUGACGGUACCGGAAUAGAAAGCCACGGCUAACUACGUGCCAGCAGCCGCGGUAAUACGUAGGUGGCAAGCGUUGUCCGGAAUUAUUGAGCGUAAAGCGCGCGCAGGUGGUUUAGAAAGUCUGAUGUGAAAGCCCACGGCUCAACCGUGGAGGGUCAUUGAAAACUAAUAAACUUGAGUGCAGGAGAGAAAAGUGGAAUUCCUAGUGUAGCGAUGAAAUGCGUAGGGAUUAGGAGGAACACCGGUGGCGAAAGCGGCUUUUAGGCCUGCAACUGACACUGAGGCGCGAAAGCGUGGGGAGCAAACAGG